rnacentral:rRNA from 1 species
GCAGGCGCGAAACCUUUACACUGCACGACAGUGCGAUAGGGGGAUCCCAAGUGCACAGGCAUAGCGCCUGUGCUUUUCGGUACCCUAAGGCGGUACCAGAAUAAGGGCUGGGCAAGACCGGUGCCAGCCGCCGCGGWAAUACCGGCAGCCCAGGUGAKGGCCGAUCUWAUKGGSCCUAAAGCGUCCGUAGCUGGCCGUACAAGUCCAUCGGRAAAUCCACCUGCUCAACAGGUGGGCGCCCGGUARAAACUGUGCGGCUUGGGACCGGAAGGCGCGACGGGUACGUCCGGGGUAGGAGUGAAAUCCCGUAAUCCUGGACGGACCGCCGAUGGCGAAAGCACGUCGCGAGAACGGAUCCGACAGUGAGGGACGAAAGCCAGGGUCUCGAACCGGAUUAGAUACCCGGGUAGUCCUGGCCGUAAACAAUGUCUGCUAGGUGUGGCUCCCACUACGAGUGGGUGCUGUGCCGUAGGGAAGCCGCUAAGCAGACCGCCUGGGAAGUACGUCCGCAAGGAUGAAACUUAAAGGAAUUGGCGGGGGAGCACUACAACCGGAGGAGCCUGCGGUUUAAUUGGAUUCAACGCCGG